GGAGCCAUGCCUGAACGCCCAAGGGCCACUUUGAUAGAGUGACUCACGAGGGUUAAAAUCCCUCUGGCUCCU
rnacentral:tRNA from 1 species